GGUAGGAAAGUCUUGUAUGAUGUGGAGUUUAUGCCUCCAAGGUGAACUAUGUGUCUUCUACCC
rnacentral:tRNA from 1 species